rnacentral:sRNA from 1 species
AAUUUUUGAAGUAAGUUGCUCAUAAACGUAUUUUUAAUGUUCAGGCUUUUGCAGCCCAGGAAGACUUGGAAAAGACCAAAGAAGAGUUAAAAACUGUGAUGUCUGCCCCCCCUCCACCUCCACCACCACCAGUCAUUCCUCCAACAGAAAAUGAACAUGAUGAACACGAUGAGAAUAAUGCUGAAGCUAGUGCUGAAUUAUCAAAUGAAGGGGUAAUGAACCAUAGAAGCGAGGAAGAACGUGUAACCGAAACACAGAAAAAUGAGCGUGUUAAGAAGCAACUUCAGGCAUUAAGUUCAGAAUUAGCCCAAGCCAGAGAUGAAACCAAGAAAACACAAAAUGAUGUUCUUCAUGCUGAGAAUGUUAAAGCAGGCCGUGAUAAGUACAAGACUCUGCGACAGAUUCGACAAGGCAAUACAAAGCAGCGUAUCGAUGAGUUUGAAGCAAUGUGAGAGCUGUUAUUUUGCAUAUAUGUUCUUCAUAAGCUGAACCACCAACAGAGAAAAGCAGGCCUUUGCAGAUAUGAUGGAAUGCAUCCCACCUUGCCAAAGCACUUACACCAGUUUGACUGUGCUAGCUAAAAGACAAAUUUAAGGGGAGCUCUUCAACAUUAAGGCAGUAUGAUAUCAUGCUUGGUUUUCUUUUUUCUUUUGGUCCAGGGAAUGGAGAAUGGUGUUCCAUUGCCUCCUUUCACAUUUUUUUUCUUUUUCUUUUUUUUUUCUGUUGAAGAUUAACACUAAUUAUCACGUGUAUGUGUGGU